rnacentral:rRNA from 1 species
GUGAGGAAUUUUCCGCAAUGGGCGAAAGCCUGACGGAGCAAUGCCGCGUGAAGGAUGAAGGCCUAUGGGUUGUAAACUUCUUUUCUCAGAAAAGAAUUAUGACGGUAUCUGAGGAAUAAGCAUCGGCUAACUCUGUGCCAGCAGCUGCGGUAAGACAGAGGAUGCAAGCGUUAUCUGGAAUGAUUGGGCGUAAAGCGUCUGUAGGUUGUUUAAAAAGUAUUCUGUCAAAGAUUAGGGCUUAACCCUAGAUAGGCAGAAUAAACUUUUAAGCUAGAGUUUGGUAGAGGCAGAGGGAAUUCCCGGUGGAGCGGUGAAAUGCGUAGAUAUCGGGAGGAACACCAAAGGCGAAGGCACUCUGCUGGGCCAAUACUAACACUGAGAGACGAAAGCGAGGGGAGCAAAUGGGAUUAGAAACCCCAGUAGUCC